CCCCCCACCCCUCGCCCGCGCGCUCCCACCCUGCUCCCCCUCCCCGGGGGAGGCCUUUUAAUUUAUUUAUUCUGCUGGGACUGAGGUGGGGGGCCCGGCUGGCGGGGGUGGGGGCGGGGGGCUCCCCGGCCUCUACCUCCCGCGGCUGGCUGGGGCGACCCCUCGAGCGGCGGCCGCCUCGGCGUGCGCCCCGGGUCUCCCCAAGUGUUUGCAAACUGCUGAGCCCGGAGGUGGGCGCGCGGGACUCGAGGGAGAGGGCUGGGCUUCUAGGGGGGCGAUUAUGUGUGUUUGGACGCUGGGACCCGCGAUGGGGGGGUGGACAGACGUCGACCCAGGAGGAGUUGCAAUCGAGGUUUCUGCUCUCUGGCUUCCUCUCCGGCCGGCGACCCCCUCCCCCCGGCGCCGAGCUGGGGAGGGGAAAACAGGAUUUGAACCGUAUUAGCAUUCGCAUGCCUGGGAAGGUUGCAGCCCUCGCCUGGAACUGGGUGAUGGAAGCUUUUUCUUUCUUUCUGUUUUUAUUUUUGAAGAGGAACAGCCCUGUAAUUGUCCUGAACACAUGCUUCUCUUCUCCACCACCACCCCACCUCUUUCCUCCAGCCACCAGCGACAGAGUCCCCCCCUUUUUUGCAUUUCUUUCCCUUCCCCUUUCUUUAUUAAAGGUCCGGGAGUGGCGGCGGCCAAUCAGCGCGCGGCUUCCAUCUUGUGAGUUCAACUCCGAGGCUCCCGGGCUUGGCGAGGACGCGUUCACAGCCCCCUCUGCCUCUCUUCUCGGGCGGCCAAGGCGAAGGAGCCGCCUGACUGGGGCUUCGUGGCGGUGUAUUUCAUAUUGGGGCUCUUUUCGGGGUUUGUAAUUUGGCCGUGGGUAGGUAAUUGGCUGGAGCUGAGCGGCAGGGCGCGGCAGCCAAUCAGCGCUCGGCUUCUAUAGGGUUUGAGUUAUUAGACGCUGAUCUCAAAACAUCCUUCAUCAGACACCAAGGAGAGGCCAACAGAUGAGGGGAGCCAUUUUUCUGCAAUGGAAUUAAAUGGCCAAGUGGGUUUUUCCUUUGUUGCGAGUGGGGAAUGUUUUUCCUUUGACUCCACCAUCCAGUUCAGGACGCUUGCAUGUGUUGUUUAACAUUUGUCAACAGGCUAAAGGACUCAAAAUUGGAAGAAUGAAGAAGACCUUUUAAAAAGAUCUGGAUUUUUCCUUAUGACUUGGAAUCCAUCUUUGUCUUGUAUAACUAGGUCAUAGCACACCAUUAAUGUCAGCAGUUAACAGUUUUGAAUUCCAAAAAACCUAAAGCAGUAAACAGUCCUCAGCGAAGCCGCCUUUUUGCCAACCCAACUCUGGAAAGGUUGCAGACGUGGAAGGAGCAGAAAAAUGCCAUAAGAGUGUAACUUACUAAAAGGUUCUUGGCUGGAGAAGGGGCAACAACCGGUUACCCGCGGAGUGGACAACCCUUCCUUCCCUUGGACAGCAGGAGCAGGCCUAGUUUGACAAUCCUCCCGUCAAAGGACCCUGGGGGUGGAGAUGGCUGCCGCUGCUCGGACCAAGGAGAGAGGCGUCCAAACGUUGUGGAGUCACCUACCCUGUGCGUUCUCCAGCUGCCUGUGACCCCCCAGCAACCCCUGCCCGCGGGACUGGAGCAGAGAACUGGGUGUAACCUUGUGAGCCGUUCCAAAGUGUUGAAAAGAUAGGAUCCUGCCUUGUUGCCCGAACUCCUGGCUUCCACUUCUGCGUCAGCCCCAGUACCUGUGACCGCAGGUGGCGAGCGGCUGGGUGCGGGCAGUGCUUUGUGCUGUGGAAAGUCACUGCCCUCCAGUGCUGGUGGCCGCUGGGGCUUGCAGAGACCUGCGGCCAGGUGCCAGGUACCUUGGCAGAUAAGUGGCCUGGUCGCCAUUUCCUCCCUCCGGGCCCUUGGGUGUCCAGGCUCCUUCCUGGGCCUGGGGUUUUUAUCUCUCACCAGCCGGGUGUUAAAUAAUUGAUUUAUGGUUUCCAACGCCCCGGAAGUGGGCGUCAUCAGCCCCCACCUGGCUUGUGGUAGCUGGACUUUGCCCAUUUCUCUCCAGGCUCAGAGUCCCCGUUGGCCUCCCUGUGGCAGGGUAAUCACACAUGAGCUCGCCCCACAAAAGCCACCUGGUAUCUCCCCGACCUUCCUGGGGCCCAGCAGAUCUUGUGGCAGGAACCAGCUCGCUGUCUCCAGGACCCCAUUGUGAGCAAGAGGGUGGUGAGGGUCCCGGGACACCUUGCCACUUGGAAGCAGCCUGGGGAGGGCAGGUGUGUCUGGCUCCUGUGCCAGCCACGAGGCCUCCAAGGAAGCACUGAGCAGCUGGCUGGGCUCCUGGGUAUUUUUAGCUACAGAUUCAGCCUCACCAUCACCAUGAGAGCUGGGUCCAUAUCAAACACUGAGGCCAGAGGGGACUGGGACUCUGCCAGACUCCUGGCCGGGCAGGCAGGGUGGGUGGGGCAGUUGCAGCUGUUCUGCCUGCUCCCAGGCAGGGCUGUGCUUUUGCUUGUUCUCUGCAGCUUGUUGUCACAGAUAGUAGAGCACCUAGCCCCAUUUCUCAGGUGGACAAAAUAGACUGAGGUCUGGGGGCUUUUUUUCCUUUGAAGUUGACAGUCUUGCUAUGUAGUUCAGGCUGGCCUUGAACCAUGUACCCCAGGUUGGCCUGGAACUCCAUGGUAGUCCUCCUGUCUCAGCCUCCUGAGUGCUGGGUUUACAGGCAUGUGCCACCUGGCAGUCCAAGGAUGUUGAGGAAAGGCAGGCACCCACCCACAGACCAUUGUGGUGAACCAGGCUUCUUGAGCCUUCUCAGGAAGUUCUGCCCAGGCCCCUUGCCGGUUGGACAGCCUCCCUCCCUCCCUGAGCUUCAGGUCCUGGGUGCAGGGCUCGAGGCUAGCUGCAAAGGUAAGUGGUUCUCACUUAAUCCCAAACCCACGCUGAGUGCCCCUUUGCCGGGCUGUGGUCCUACACUGUUCGGAUCUCCAUCAGACUGGUGCCCCUAACACUUCGAGCUCUGGGCAGGCAGGAACGCAGUUGCUUCUCAAUAAACAUGUUGCAAAAAAGGAACAGAUGAGUUGGAUGUGUAUUUAUUUAUCGAUGGAGCCCUUGACCUAGAAGAUCCUCCAUCCAGCGACAGGAGAGGGUGCCCACCUAAGAACCUGGCCUCCUUCCAGAUCGGCUGUUGUCUAUGGGUUUCCGCGGGCGGUCACUGCUGCUCUCUGGCGGCCACACUUCGUCUUGCACCUGCUGGAGAAAACAACUUGGCAUUUACAAAACUGCCAGGUUGGCAGUUUCUCUACAAAGUGAAAUCUGCUUGACUUUUGCUGAGACCUUGAAAAUGGAGUCUUUGGGGUCAAGAGCACGAAGCUCUUGGGUCCUGACAACCACCACCAUGCUGCCGGCAGGGUUUUAUUAGAAAUGAGCUUUACUUACCCCAGCCAGGAGGCUGCACUCAUCAGCCCAUGCCAUGGUGCCUACCUGCUGCGCCUAGGCUCCAGGGAUCCCUCUGCCACCACCUGGGCAGGGGACAGUCAGCCCGGGGUACCGGAGGGGACAG
ensembl:lncRNA